UAACAACCAAUGACGGAGAAAAGUAGUUAAGAAUACACAUGGCCAGAGAGGAAAUGCCUUAGGCUGGAAGCAUUUCUCCAUGAUGACUUAACGAAAGACACUCCGUAGGUUUCCCUUUGAACGCGUCAUUUGCGCCAGUAAAAGGGAACGCGAAUCUCGCGUUAUCGGUAAUAAGUGGAAGCUUUUUGCUUCAAUUAGGGUGGCACCACGGGAACAACGCUCUCGUCCCUAUU
rnacentral:ncRNA from 1 species